AUUGAACGCUGGCGGCAUGCCCUACACAUGCAAGUCGAACGGCAGCACGGGAGCAAUCCUGGUGGCGAGUGGCGAACGGGUGAGUAAAGUAUCGGAACGUGCCCAGUCGUGGGGGAUAACGUAGCGAAAGUUACGCUAAUACCGCAUACGAUCUAUGGAUGAAAGCGGGGGAUCGCAAGACCUCGCGCGAUUGGAGCGGCCGAUAUCAGAUUAGGUAGUUGGUGGGGUAAAGGCUCACCAAGCCGACGAUCUGUAGCUGGUCUGAGAGGACGACCAGCCACACUGGGCCUGAGACACGGCCCAGACUCCUACGGGAGGCAGCAGUGGGGAAUUUUGGACAAUGGGCGAAAGCCUGAUCCAGCCAUGCCGCGUGCAGGACGAAGGCCUUCGGGUUGUAAACUGCUUUUGUACGGAACGAAAAGGUUUGGCCUAAUAAGCUGAGCUCAUGACGGUACCGUAAGAAUAAGCACCGGCUAACUACGUGCCAGCCGCCGCCGUAA
rnacentral:rRNA from 1 species